rnacentral:rRNA from 1 species
UACGUAGGGUGCGAGCGUUGUCCGGAAUUAUUGGGCGUAAAGGGCUCGUAGGCGGUUUGUCGCGUCGGGAGUGAAAAUCCAGGGCUUAACUCUGGACUGGCUUCCGAUACGGGCAGACUAGAGGUAUGCAGGGGAGAACGGAAUUCCUGGUGUAGAGGUGAAAUUCGUAGAUAUUGGGAAGAACACCGGUGGCGAAGGCGGCGACCUGGUCCUUUUACUGGCGCUGAGGCGCGAAAGCGUGGGGAGCAAACAGG